rnacentral:lncRNA from 1 species
AUUUCUGCUUUUCUCUGGGCUGCUCAGAGGCCGACCUUCAUAGAUGGCAUUUCCAGGCUCUUCUGCUUUCUGGCCUCCAGUUGGAGUCCAUCUCUGGCAAGUGCUGGCAAGAAAGGGAUUGGAGGGUCAUAGGAGAAACAGGUUGGUGCCACCUGACUAAUUGUAUAGCUGGUCUGCUCUGGCUAAAACUUCUGUUGGGCCACCCCUCUUCCACUGUUACAGCAGGCUAUAGCUCUCGUCACAAUCUGGUAAUAAUAUUUUCUCCCUUUGUCCCUUUCAGGGUGGUAAGAGCCUCUCACUCUGUGGCUAGUCCCUGGCAAGCCGCUACCUCUGUUGUUCCCUUGUGCUGCCUGCCCACACAGCUAUAAAUAUGGCCUUUGUUACACCCUUUCCAGCUAACCCUUUCAGUGUGCCAUCUGUUCCCUGGCUGGACCCUUCUGACACAGACAGAAAGCUGCCUUGAGAAACUUACGGUCUACUUAGACUAGUUAUCCCAAGCACUAGUCAGAUGCAUACCAUCUUCACAGUUGUUAAAGCUAAG